rnacentral:misc_RNA from 1 species
CGUGACAAAUGAUGAAAUGAGAGAAAAAACAAUUUGUCUAACUCGCUACAAAUGGUCUUUUGUUAGACCUGAUGAUUCUAUUACUGCACAACAUAUUGAUGCUAGGAAUUCCAAGUACAAAAAUAUUGUGAUCACUAAACGUAGAUUAGUCGUUAAACUUUCCUGCAUUUGCUACCAUUAUAACUGUGCUAUAGAGUUAUAUAACACUGAGCAGCUUCACCAAAAUCAGCUUGCAGCGAAUGACUUACCACAGCAUUCCAUAUUCAUGGUUAUGAGUGUGUCGAGGCCCUGGACAUCCUAGAGCCAUAGCCAUUUUUUGAGGUUUGGGUAACAUGGUAGGCAAGGGGCUCCAGAGAUGGAGUCGAGUUGUGAUGAAAUUGACCAGCCCACAAGUCAUGUAAACAACUCAGGAAAUGACCACAUUACGAACUUGGCAAAAAUGUCAGACUCCAAGAACUCUAUAUGAGCAGCCCUUCCGAUUAUCGUAUUCAAGUUCCUUCCUUGCAAUGUUAUGUCAAAGUUGACAUCGCACCUCAUGAAUACUCGAUGCUCAGAUGACUGAGCACGUAUCUGGUCCAAGCAUUCAUUCAGCAUCUCCAGAAAUACUUUUCCCUUUUUCGAGCUGUCCCCUGAAGAUGCUUGACACAUCUCGAUUCUUGCAGAAUGAUAUGGAACAUAACCAUCCUGAGGUGAAGAUAACAAAAUAAUAUUCUUGAAAUUCUCCAAGGACCUUUGCUUGCAAAGUUUGUACAAGAAUGUAUUCCGGAGAUCAGGGUCAUCUGUAAAUGUAAGCUGAUGUAUGCAUGGUGUGCCCUUGAG